rnacentral:misc_RNA from 1 species
AACGCACGAGACCUGCGGACCUGCGGAAGGAUCAUUACCGAGUUUACAACUCCCAAACCCAAUGUGAACCAUACCAAACUGUUGCCUCGGCGGGGUCACGCCCCGGGUGCGUCGCAGCCCCGGAACCAGGCGCCCGCCGGAGGGACCAACCAAACUCUUUCUGUAGUCCCCUCGCGGACGUUAUUUCUUACAGCUCUGAGCAAAAAUUCAAAAUGAAUCAAAACUUUUAGCAAUGGAUCU